AAGUCGAACGAGCGAGAGAGAGCUUGCUUUCUCGAGCGAGUGGCGAACGGGUGAGUAACGCGUGAGGAACCUGCCUCAAAGAGGGGGACAACAGUUGGAAACGACUGCUAAUACCGCAUAAGCCCACGGGUCGGCAUCGACCAGAGGGAAAAGGAGUAAUCCGCUUUGAGAUGGCCUCGCGUCCGAUUAGCUAGUUGGUGAGGUAAUGGCCCACCAAGGCAACGAUCGGUAGCCGGACUGAGAGGUUGAACGGCCACAUUGGGACUGAGACACGGCCCAGACUCCUACGGGAGGCAGCAGUGGGGAAUAUUGCACAAUGGGGGAAACCCUGAUGCAGCGACGCCGCGUGGAGGAAGAAGGUCUUCGGAUUGUAAACUCCUGUUGUUGAGGAAGAUAAUGACGGUACUCAACAAGGAAGUGACGGCUAACUACGUGCCAGCAGCCGCGGUAAAACGUAGGUCACAAGCGUUGUCCGGAAUUACUGGGUGUAAAGGGAGCGCAGGCGGGAAGACAAGUUGGAAGUGAAAUCUAUGGGCUCAACCCAUAAACUGCUUUCAAAACUGUUUUUCUUGAGUAGUGCAGAGGUAGGCGGAAUUCCCGGUGUAGCGGUGGAAUGCGUAGAUAUCGGGAGGAACACCAGUGGCGAAGGCGGCCUACUGGGCACCAACUGACGCUGAG
rnacentral:rRNA from 1 species